GCUUUCUAAGGUGUCACACCCAGGAGCAGGAUGCCCUCAGCGUGUCCCAGUGCAGUGUCACCGCCCUGGUGUCAUUCAGAGCUGUUUAAAGGACGAGCUGCACCUGCAGGGUGUUUGUCUGAAGCAAAGGCACCUGCUCUGUCCUGCAGCCUCCUGGGGAUGCUCCUGCAGGCAGGAGGUUCAGUUCCAGCUGGGUGAGCUCUGAGGAGGAAGGGGAGGGCUGGGGAAGCCCCAGUGACCCACAUGAGCAAACAUCUGGAGUUAAAGCUCUGCUCCCAGCCACAGAGCACAGCUGGGGGCUGGGAUGGAGGGGGAUCAGCUUUUCCUGCUGCAAAUGAGUCGGGCAGAAUUCAGCUGAGAUUCUUGGAAAGAGGUGGAUUGGAGGAUGGGAGUGGGAAGAGAUCAAAGCAGAUUAGCAGCAUGGGGAGGAUGUGCAGCCAGACAGUCUCUGUUAUCACACCCAGACACAGGGGAUGUGUCACAAGCAGGAACAGCUCCGGGCUGGCAGUGCCGGUGAUUGUCCUGUGGAUCCUGGAGGGGAGCUGUUCUCAUCAGGCAGGGCCAGAUGGUCAGUUCAUCCGUGCCCCUGGUUAGGAAGCUGCUUUAGUCACCCUCUUUGAUUAAAUUCUAUGGAAGAAUCAUAGGGAGUUCCCUCAGUGCUUCCCAAAACUGGGGAGGAAAUGUGUGAGGUGGGGUGGAGUCCCUUCAGGAAAUCCAAGGGCUCAGAGCUCAGCACCACCUGCCCUCCCAGCACCCCAGUCCCACACCCUGCACUGCUCAGGCAGCCUGGGGGGACUGGCUGCAGUGGGAUGAAGCAGAUGGGUGUGGAAUUGAGCCUGUCAUGGACAUGCAAACCCCAGUUCCUCGUGUUUACCAUGGAAGAGCAGAGCUUCCCUGCUGCAGGAGUGGGAUUGAGGGAGAGCAAUGAAGCUUUGCCACAUCCCCUUUGCCCCAGGUGUCCCUGAGGGAUGGCACUGUCAGGGCUCAGCAGCCAGACCCCUGUGUGCCCCCAGAUCCCUGAGCUGCAGCCCCAGUGAUCCUGUGCAAGCUCCAUCUUCAUCUGGGUCUCUCUGGCCCUGAUCCAUCCCUGUCACACUCUGGCUGUGCAGUGUUGGGGAACAGACCUGGAAAAUGGGAGAUCUCGUAAAGUGCUCACUCAAAAGGAUUCUUUAAAGGACACUGAGCCUGGCAGCCCCUGCCCUCUGGGGGUAGAAGAGGCAGGAAUUAACCUGGCAAAGUGGGAUUUUCUUGCUGUCCUUCUAAAUAUGCCCCCUCAUUCCAGAAGAGACAAAUCAAAACCCUCAUGUUGAAAUCCCGCUGCCUGGAGCAGCAGAGUCUCUGUCUGACAUCUGCAAAGCUCUGAUUUUCUUGCUGUUUUGCAGGUAAAAGAUGAAAAAAACAUACAGGAAACGUUUGAUCUGAGUGACUAUGAGAAAUGUGAAGAGCUCAGGAAGUCCAAAAGUAGAAGCAAAAAGAACCACAGUAAAUUCACCCUUGCCCACUCCAGGCAGCCUGGAAACACGGCACCAAAUCUGAUCUUCCUGGCUGUGAGUCCAGAAGAGAAAGAGUCCUGGAUUAACGCCCUCAACUCUGCAAUCACUCGUGCUAAAAACCGGAUCUUGGACGAGGUCACCGUGGAAGAGGACAGCUUCCUUGCCCACCCGACACGUGACAGAGCCAAGAUCCAGCACUCCCGGCGCCCUCCCACGCGG